UUUGCAACUGAGGGACCUGAGGCUCAGAGAGACUGUCUCACCAAGCUACGCUUCAUCAGUUCUGGGGAUGAGAUGUUCCACCAGGAGGAAAGAUCAGGUGUCCUGACCAUGCUGGUGGGGGCACCACAUUGUCCUUGCCUUUGUAAUGCCAGGAGGAGGAAAGCCAGGGACCAGCUUCAGGUAGAGGAAGGAGCAGAAGCUGUGGGCUGACUCACAAAGAAGAAAAAAAAAAGAAAAAGAAAAGAAAAGAAAAAAGAAAAAUCAAGGAGCAAAAUUGAAUGCCUUUGGGAACCAGGCUGGAGAACCUUUGUUAUGAAGCUGGCCAAGUAAGAGGCCUCACUCAGAUGCCAAUUAGAAAGUGCUCCUGAUUUUCUGCCUUGCUGGUAAGGAGAAGCCCUUACCACUCCAGCAGGACCUGGGUACCAAAACUCUAGCAUAGGAGCCUAAGCCUUCUUGCAAGAGGAGAAGUGACAACAAAUUUAAGUAGAGAAGAUGAAUAUCUGCAUGAGCCAAGUGACUGUGAAGAGGGCAAAGAAUUAAUAAUUGUGUAAUAAUGUUACUGAAUACUUACUGUGAGCUGCUUUCUAGAUGACUCCAUGAAUUUGUUUAAAUCUCCAACAAUCCUGCAAAGUAGGUACUGUUAGUAUCAUUCCUUUCUGAUAUAUGAGGAAAUUAAAGCACAGAGAAAAUGAGUAACUGCACCAAUGUCAACAGCUAGGAAGUGACAAGACAAGCUUCAAGUUCGUGCAGUUUGACUCAAAGGACCAUGUUCCUAACCGCUACAUUCUCCUGCCUCUUUCAAGAAAUGCUAGGUCUGCUUAGAGAAUUUGAUUAUUCACUGGAUGUGUAUGGGAAGAGGCAGAGUGAUCAAAUUCCAGGUUGCUGGCAUCAACAAUUGAGGGGACCAAAGAUCCACCAACCAAAGUAGAGCAUUUGGGAGGAAGAACUCUGCAAGGUGUGAGUCUGGG
rnacentral:lncRNA from 1 species